rnacentral:rRNA from 1 species
UAAAGUGGCGAACGGCUGAGUAACACGUGGGCAACCUGCCCUUUGCACUGGGAUAGCCUCGGGAAACCGAGGUUAAUACCGGAUACUCCAUAUUUGUCGCAUGGCGAAUAUGGGAAAGCUCCGGCGGCAAAGGAUGGGUCCGCGGCCUGUUAGCUAGUUGGUGGGGUAGUGGCCUACCAAGGCAAUGAUGGGUAGCCGGGUUGAGAGACCGACCGGCCAGAUUGGGACUGAGACACGGCCCAGACUCCUACGGGAGGCAGCAGAG